rnacentral:rRNA from 1 species
ACCCUUAGAUGUUCGGGGCCGCACGCGCGCUACACUGAAGGAAUCAGCGUGCUCUUGUCCUGGUCUGGAAAGACUGGGUAACCCGUUGAACCUCCUUCGUGCUAGGGAUUGGGGCUUGCAAUUAUUCCCCAUGAACGAGGAAUUCCCAGUAAGCGCAAGUCAUCAGCUUGUGUUGAUUACGUCCCUGCCCUUUGUACACACCGCCCGUCGCUACUACCGAUUGAAUGGUUUAGUGAGACCCUCGGAUUCGUCCCAGCACAGUGGGUUUCUGCUGAGCUGGUGCGCGGAGAAGACGGUCGAACUUGAUCAUUUAGAGGAAGUAAAAGUUGUAACA